GUUGUUCUCAUAGAUAUGAAUGAGUAGAUAGGACACGCCCCUUUGAGCUGCGUGCUACAGCGAGGCUAAGCUAGUGGGGGAAAAGUUUCAGUGCAUUCCGUUGAUGUAGACGGCGUGAAAACGGAAACAACAAGAAUGCCGUUUCACUGUGCUGCAUACAGUUACACACUACGUCGUACGAUUGAGACAAGGAAACUUGGAAUGACUUUUCAUAGGUUUCCCAGAGACUAUGGGUUGAGGAGGAAUUGGAAGUUUGUCGGCUUAGACCUGGUGUCAUUCCAUCAGUGUUAAACUUCCCGGCUCAUCUUGGAAGAACCAAAGAACUACAGACUCUUCACAACCUGCUCAAACUCUUGGUACAGGACCUCACCACACGAGUCAAGAAGGUUUCCUUCUCAUUUCUACUCUGAAGCUCA
ensembl:lncRNA